AUAUCCAGCCAGAGGGCUGAGGAGAAAUAUACAUUAGAAAGAGAAGAAAGUUGCCUAACUAAGCUGAAAUAAGUUAAACUGUUCUGGAAGUUAUAUAAUAACACGUUUAUGUAUUCAAAAGAGUGAAAGACAAUAACAAUAGUAUCUAAGUGGAACUGAAGUAAAGUUAUUUGUAACAAAUACGCUUUAUGUGCAAAAGAAUUCAUAAAUAAACAUUUCUUUGUUUCAACUUAUAUAUUAAAAUCUCGUGUCAAGUUACAGGACUGAAGUUACAUAUUUGAAAGUCGGCCGGAGAUUAUAUUGAUGUAACCUGCGAGGAGAAGUUGGAAGCUACAUAUUGAUUCCAGGAUUAAGGUGAAGGCUUCCCCUGACGUUGAGUCCAGUCAUGUCUGACUCUGGGGGUUGGUGCUCAUCUCCAUUUCUAAGCUGAAGAGCCGGCGUUGUCCAUAGACACCUCCAAGGUCAUGUGGCCAGCAUGACUGCAUAGAGCGCCGUUCUCUGCCCGCCGGAGUGUUUUGUUGGCGCAUAGACAGAGGGUCCUGAUUUGCAGCCACAGCUACGUCCACUGGGCGUAUGGAUACCUCACAACCUCUGAGGAUGCCUGCCAUAGAUGUGGGCGAAACGUCAGGAGAGAAUACUUCUGGAACAUGGCCACACAGCCCGAAAGACAUACAACAACCCUGUGAUCCCGAUAUAUGCUGGAUUCAGAGAUGCUCUGGGGCACAAAUGUAGGAAGGAGAAAGAAAGAUGCACUGUAAAAAUCCGCCGGACAUGGGAUAGGAUUUUAUUUGGUCUUCAUUUUUAAUUUAGACAGCAGAAUUUAUAAUAAUAAUAAUAAUAAUAAUAAUAAUAAUAAUAAUAAUCUAUUUAUAAUCCCCCAUCUCCUCGAAGGGACUUCCAGACAUUUAUAUGGAUUAUAAUAUAAUUAUUAUUCAACAUAGGCACCCCUUCACACUAUUCUUAGCUCAAACAUUGGACACCAGAAAGCAAACUUUAAAAAAAAGAAAGAAAGAAAGAAGUUUUUUUGACAUUAAUUUCCAGAAUCCCCCAAUCAUUGAGAAACAUUGCUUACCUAACAUAAAUUAGAGCAAUAUA